rnacentral:rRNA from 1 species
UACGAAGGGGGCUAGCGUUGCUCGGAAUCACUGGGCGUAAAGCGCACGUAGGCGGAUCUUUAAGUCAGGGGUGAAAUCCUGGAGCUCAACUCCAGAACUGCCUUUGAUACUGAGGACCUUGAGUUCGGGAGAGGUGAGUGGAACUGCGAGUGUGGAGGUGAAAUUCGUAGAUAUUCGCAAGAACACCAGUGGCGAAGGCGGCUCACUGGCCCGAUACUGACGCUGAGGUGCGAAAGCGUGGGGAGCAAACGGG